GCCGUGAGGGUUGGGUUAAGUCCGCAACGAGCGCAAUCCUAUUGUUAGUUGCCAUCACAUAAUGGUGGGCACUCUAAUGAGACUGCCCGGGUCAACCGGGAGGAAGGUGGGGACGACGUCAAGUCAUCAUGGCCCUUACGCCUAGGGCUACACACGUACUACAAUGGUGCAUACAAAGGGUUGCGAAACCGCGAGGUCAAGCCAAUCCCAAAAAAUGCAUCCCAGUCCGGAUCGGAGUCUGCAACUCGACUCCGUGAAGUUGGAAUCGCUAGUAAUCCCGGAUCAGCAUGCCGGGGUGAAUACGUUCCCGGGCCUUGUACACACCGCCCGUCACACCACGAAAGCUGGUUCUACCCGACAACGGCGGACUAACCCUUCGGGAGGUAGUCGUCUACGGUAGGGCUGGUGAUUGGGGUGAAGUCGUAACAAGGUAACCAAG
rnacentral:rRNA from 1 species